UUCGAGCAGUCGAAGGGACGUUCUCCUGCGUGAACCCGCCGGUGGGUCUCUAGAUGGCUCGGGUGCUGCCAGGCUUUGCCACACAUGUCACACUCAUAACGCUUCUCCCUGUUGUGCCCCGCCAUGUGGUCGUCCACUGAAGCUCAGCCCCUCGAAGGUCAGCCCGCACACCGAGCAGAUGGGGGGGGUGGGGGGCUCACCGGCACCCUGGCCGCCCUCAAUGGCCGUUCACACCCCUUCUCUCCGUCCACAGCAACGGCUCACAAACCCUGGAGGAGGGGAACACAGAGAGUCAACAAGCUGGCAAACUGGACAUUACUAACGCGUGAACAUUACUGAAGAUGCAGGUUCAU